UACGUAGGGGGCAAGCGUCGUCCGGAUUUAUUGGGCGUAAAGAGCGUGUAGGCGGUUUGGUAGGUCCGCUGUGAAAACUCGAGGCUCAACCUCGAGACGCCGGUGGAAACCAUCAGACUAGAGUCCGGAAGAGGAGAGUGGAAUUCCUGGUGUAGCGGUGAAAUGCGCAGAUAUCAGGAAGAACACCCGUGGCUAAGGCGGCUCUCUAGUACGGUACUGACGCUGAGACGCGAAAGCGUGGGGAGCAAACAGG
rnacentral:rRNA from 1 species